AGCAGCCGCGGUAAUUCCAGCUCCAAUAGCGUAUAUUAAAGUUGUUGCAGUUAAAAAGCUCGUAGUUGAACUUCGGGGUUUACCCAUUGGUCAGGCUUAAUUGUCUGUACUGGUGAGAUAAAUCUCUACCUUCUGAGGAACUUUCAUGUCAUUAAUUUGGUGUGAUUGGAAAUCAGGACUGUUACUUUGAAAAAAUUAGAGUGUUUAAAGCAGGCUAACGUCUGAAUACAUUAGCAUGGAAUAAUGAAAUAGGACGGACUGAUUCUAUUUCGUUGGUUUCUAGGAUCACCGUAAUGAUUAAUAGGGAUAGUUGGGGGCAUUAGUAUUCAAUUGUCAGAGGUGAAAUUCUUGGAUUUAUUGAAGACUAACUACUGCGAAAGCAUUUGCCAAGGAUGUUUUCAUUAAUCAAGAACGAAAGUUAGGGGAUCGAAGACGAUCAGAUACCGUCGU
rnacentral:rRNA from 1 species